ACUAAAAAUGUGGUUUAUCACGUGCAAGUAAGAGACCAGACAUUGAGUUGGAUAAAGAGCGUUAUAGAAUAGAAGGCCAUUACAAAUGGUGAAAAAAAGCAUCUGUUGCAAAAGGUAUGUCCAUCAUCAACAAUUAUCACCAUAUUGAUCGUUACAUCAGUUUAUUCCAAUACAAAUACAUUAUCACUAACAAUCUUCAAGCUUACCUUUGAUCCCCUCUUCUUUUCCUUUAAUUUUCAAUAGGAUGAAACUCUAGAACUCUUUGAUUAUGAUUGAAAGCAAGGUAAGUUACUUUUCAAUCUAUUGUUUUACGUAUGUUAUGAUGAAAUUAGGUAGUUUAAAGCCCCUUUAAAAUCCCUAGGAAUGAUCGUGGUCUG